UACGGAGGAUGCAAGCGUUAUCCGGAAUGAUUGGGCGUAAAGCGUCCGCAGGUGGCAAUGUAAGUCUGCUGUUAAAGAGUCUAGCUCAACUAGAUAAAAGCAGUGGAAACUACAUAGCUAGAGUACGUUCGGGGGCAGAGGGAAUUCCUGGUGUAGCGGUGAAAUGCGUAGAGAUCAGGAAGAACACCAGUGGCGAAGGCGCUCUGCUAGGCCGUAACUGACACUGAGGGACGAAAGCUAGGGGGAGCGAAUGGG
rnacentral:rRNA from 1 species